rnacentral:rRNA from 1 species
UGGCCCUCGUGGUCCGAGUUGUAAUUUGUAGAGGAUGCUUUUGGUGCGGUGCCUUCCGAGUUCCCUGGAACGGGACGCCAAAGAGGGUGAGAGCCCCGUACGGUUGGACACCUACCCUAUAUAUAGCUCCUUCGACGAGUCGAGUAGUUUGGGAAUGCUGCUCUAAAUGGGAGGUAAAUUUCUUCUAAAGCUAAAUACCGGCCAGAGACCGAUAGCGCACAAGUAGAGUGAUCGAAAGAUGAAAAGCACUUUGAAAAGAGGGUUAAAUAGCACGUGAAAUUGUUGAAAGGGAAGCGUUUGCGACCAGACCUUUUCCAGGGGGAUCAUCCGGUGUUCUCACCGGUGCACUUCCCUUGGUUUAGGCCAGCAUCGGUUUUCUUAGGGGGAUAAAGGCUUAGGGAACGUAGCUCUUUCGGGAGUGUUAUAGCCCUUUGCGUAAUACCCCUCGGGGGACCGAGGACCGCGCUCUGCAAGGAUGCUGGCGUAAUGGUCGUCAACGACCCGUCUUGAAACACGGACCAAGGAGUCGAACAUUUGUGCGAUUGUUUUGGGUGUUAAACCCUCACGCGUAAUGAAAGUGAACGGGAGGUGAGAGCCCUUACGGGUGCAUCAUCGACCGAUCCUGAUGUCUUCGGAUGGAUUUGAGUAAGAGCAUAACUGUUCGGACCCGAAAGAUGGUGGAACUAUGCGUGGAUAGGGUGAAGCCAGAGGAAACUCUGGUGGAGGCUCGCAGCGGUUCUGACGUGCAAAUCGAUCGUCAAAUCUGCGCAUGGGGGCGAAAGACUUAUCGAACCAUUAAAACCAGCGGUAAAUUUUAAUUUACUAGGUGGUUAAGAGGUCCCCUGGGAGGGGGGCCUAGGUCUAUGUGCCAGUUUACGCUAUAGGUUACCCUAUAGUUACCCUGGAGCUACCCUAUACCUACCCUGGAGCUACCCUGUAGCUGCCCUGGAGGGGGUGCCCCGGAGUGCUGGCGCGGCCGACACCGCUAAAUUGCGGGAAAGUCCUAUUAAAGGCCGCAGGCUACCGCCGGGCGCUGAAAAGCGACCCGGCACCAAGAAUAGCGCUCUUGGGUAUGGUAAAAACGCCUGUGGUAGCGGACGACCUGCAGCCAACCCCGCAGAUGCUAGGGGAGAGUUCACUGACUAAAUAGCGGUGGGUUAGCGUGCACGCUAGCCUAAGACAUAGUCGAUCCGGCGCCUGAAAAGGCGCCUACCUAUAGGUAUCUACCCUAUAACACCUACCCUGGAGGUAGGUAGCGGAGCUAGUAGCUUGGUUACGCCGAAGUUUCCCUCAGGAUAGCAGUGUG